CACGUAGGGGGCGAGCGUUGUCCGGAUUCAUUGGGCGUAAAGGGCGCGCAGGCGGCCCGGCAAGUCGGAUGUGAAAACUCGAGGCUCAACCUCGAGCGUGCACCCGAUACUGCCGGACUUGAGGCAGGUAGGGGAGAUCGGAAUUCCUGGUGUAGCGGUGAAAUGCGCAGAUAUCAGGAGGAACACCGGUGGCGAAGGCGGAUCUCUGGGCCUGUCCUGACGCUGAGGCGCGAAAGCUAGGGGAGCGAACAGG
rnacentral:rRNA from 1 species